rnacentral:rRNA from 1 species
GUGAGGAAUAUUGGACAAUGGGCGCAAGCCUGAUCCAGCCAUGCCGCGUGCAGGAAGACGCAUCUAUGGUGUGUAAACUGCUUUUGUACGGGAAGAAACACUCCCUCGUGAGGGAGCUUGACGGUACCGUAAGAAUAAGGAUCGGCUAACUCCGUGCCAGCAGCCGCGGUAAUACGGAGGAUCCAAGCGUUAUCCGGAAUCAUUGGGUUUAAAGGGUCCGUAGGCGGUUUAAUAAGUCAGUGGUGAAAGCCCAUCGCUCAACGAUGGAACGGCCAUUGAUACUGUUAGACUUGAAUUACAAGGAAGUAACUAGAAGAUGUAGUGUAGCGGUGAAAUGCUUAGAUAUCACACAGAACACCGAUUGCGUAGGCAGCUUACUGGAGCGCAACUGACGCUGAGGCACGAAAGCGUGGGGAUCGAACAGGAUUAGAAACCCGGGUAGUCC